GGUGGUUUCGGUGGUGGAUAUGGUGGUUACGGAGGUGGAUUUGGUGGUUACGGUGGUGGAUAUGGUGGUUACGGAGGUGGAUAUGGAUAUGGAAAGGGCAAAGGAUAUUAAACACAGAAUCUCAUCCCGAACGAACAACGAAUGCUUUUCCUUUUUUACAUUUCUGAUAUAAAAUAUAAUCGUUGCAUUGAA